CCCCGCCACUCUGCUUGGCUCUGGUCUCCGGGGUCUGCGCCUAGGCCCCGGCACUGGGGUUUGCGCCCCGCUGAGAGGAGGCUGCAGAGCCGAGCCCUGGUCGCCCGCCUGCCCCACGGUCGUGUCUCUGGGGAAGUCGUCCCAGCCCGCUGCCAGCGCUGCGCCUCUUUCCGAGAGCAGCGGGGAAACCGCUCUCUGCGGGGUUCCUAUAGGGUGCCCCGGAUCUUUAAGGAUCACUCCCCAGGGCUCAGUUCCUCCGGUAGAGACUGCUGGGGCGACCUGGAGAAGAAAUCACUGUGAUUGUGGCUCGGUGGCCCCGUGACAUUCAUUCCUGUCAUCAUCUGUUGAGUGACCAAUCAGAUGGGUGGAGUGUGUUAUAGAAAUUGGCAGCAAGUGUCCAAUGGGUGAAGAAGGUAAGAUGGGCUAACGUUACUGAAUGAUUCACACAUCACUAUUUACAUGGAGAAAGAAAUUAUAUCUCCAGGGGGCAUUCCUCAAACUGGCUUGCUUUGACACAACUACCAAGUCCAAAGUAGAACCUGAGAAGGAAGAAAAGGCCUACCUUCUUGGGCUUAAAGUAAUGUGAUUAUUCAAUGCCAUCAUCAUUGGGUUCUCUUUAUUGAAUACCUAUUUUGUGCCAGGACAGGUAAGAUAAUCUGUUGGAGUGUAUAAGCUGUGGAAGAGAGAGAAGAAACUAAAGGCAUUGUGCAUCUUAAGACUGAGACGAUUUAUGCAUCAUUUCUUCCCCUUUUCUUUCUUUUGAAAAAUGAUUCUUAAAAUAAGAACAAGGUGACUUAUAACCCGCAAGGCAAAGAGAUAGCUAGGAGGCUGAAAUGUUCAGAAGUCAAAAGGGAG
rnacentral:lncRNA from 1 species